rnacentral:rRNA from 1 species
GAUGAACGCCAGCGGCAGGCUUAAUACAUGCAAGUCGUGGGGCAGCGCAGUGUAGCAAUACAUGGGCGGCGACCGGCAAACGGGUGCGUAACACGUACGCAACCUUCCCGUUACUGGGGAAUAGCCCAGGGAAACUUGGAUUAAUACCCCAUAUUAUAUUGAUUGGGCAUCUGAUUAAUAUCAAAGCUUCGGCGGUAACGGACGGGCGUGCGGUUGAUUAGGUAGUUGGCGGGGUAACGGCCCACCAAGCCUACGAUCAAUAGCUGAUGUGAGAGCAUGAUCAGCCACACGGGCACUGAGACACGGGCCCGACUCCUACGGGAGGCAGCAGUAAGGAAUAUUGGGCAAUGGACGCAAGUCUGACCCAGCCAUGCCGCGUGGAGGAUGAAGGUCCUCUGGAUUGUAAACUUCUUUUUUCUGGGGCGAAAACCGGUUUUUCUAAACCAUUUGACAGUACCAGAAGAAUAAGCACCGGCUAACUCCGUGCCAGCCGCCGCAGUAAAAC